ensembl:lncRNA
CGCCGACCUGGCAGGACCAGACCCUGUGAGAGCAUCAGAUCAUCUGCACAGAGCAGAUAUAAAAUGCCAAGCUUUAAACACCACCAUCUACCUCCCUGCCUGCACUCCAAGCUGCUCUUCUUUGCCCCAGAAGAACAGCCGAGCACACCUGUGAUCCCAGCAUGCUUCGAGGCUGAGGCAGGAGGGUCACUUCUUCAAGCCCAGCCUGGACAACAUAGCAGCGUAAUAAGGAGCACGACUACAACACGACAUCUCCGGGCUCCCGCUGUGAAAUCUGUUUCGGGUCUGGACUAGGAUAUCGGGAAUUUCUAGAGAGCGGAGCAAAGGCCACAGUAGUUGCAGUAAUCUAUCACCGACCUCUGCUUGUCUACCUUCCCACACCCCGUGGACCACUGUUUCACAAAAUGUGAACUUGGGAAUCUCAGAGUACAAAACUUUUGCAACUUCCUGUGCGUCUAUGAGU